rnacentral:sRNA from 1 species
CGGGGAUUACGAAAGAUUAAUCCAGGAUCUGUUCAAUGUGCCACUAUGAAACUUCAAAUGAGAGUGAAGUAUCCUUUUUUCAGUGUACUUACUGCCCAGUUCGAGGACCAAAAUGCGGCGACCCAGUUGAUCUCGGUUGGGGAAGACGGUGAGGAUGUUGUGCUUGAA